rnacentral:rRNA from 1 species
UACAGAGGUGGCAAGCGUUGUUCGGAAUUACUGGGCGUAAAGGGCGCGUAGGCGGUCGAUUAAGUCCCGUGUGAAAUCCCUCGGCUCAACUGAGGAACUGCACGGGAAACUGGCUGACUUGAGUUCGGGAGAGGGAAGCGGAAUUCCGGGUGUAGCGGUGAAAUGCGUAGAUAUCCGGAGGAACACCGGUGGCGAAGGCGGCUUCCUGGACCGAUACUGACGCUGAGGCGCGAAGGCGUGGGGAGCGAACGGG